rnacentral:lncRNA from 1 species
UUAUGUGCUUGAGCAUAUGAAGUCUCUUGCUUGUGUGCUUGAGCAUUAGAAGUCUUUUACUUUAUGUUUGAUCAUUGGAAGUCUCUUACUUGUGUGCUUGAGCAAAUUGUAAUCUUGUGUUAGUAUAUUCAAAUCUUUUGGAAGUUCAAAGGAAUUGAAUACUCACGGUUUGUGAGAGGAAGCAAGAUAAAUUUAUGUAUCUCCUUCUUUCCUUCAUUCCUUAUCCACUACUUAUCAUUCACCUCUGAUUUAGACUCUAGACCAUGUGUUUAGAAUCUGAGUAGUUUUAAAAAGAAAAAAAGUCUAACACAAUCCAACCCUCCUUUCUUAUUUUUUUCUCACCUUUAAUUAUUACUCGGUAUAUCAGCUAUGGAACUCUCUUUGACAUGAGCAGUAAAUGCCACAACAUUUUU